UACGAAGGGGACUAGCGUUGUUCGGAAUUACUGGGCGUAAAGCGCACGUAGGCGGAUUUGUAAGUCAGGGGUGAAAUCCCGGGGGCUCAACCUCGGAACUGCCUUUGAUACUGCAAAUCUCGAGUCCGGAAGAGGUGAGUGGAAUUCCUAGUGUAGAGGUGAAAUUCGUAGAUAUUAGGAAGAACACCAGUGGCGAAGGCGGCUCACUGGUCCGGUACUGACGCUGAGGUGCGAAAGCGUGGGGAGCAAACAGG
rnacentral:rRNA from 1 species